GGCGCGGCUUCAAGUUGACGUCUAGUGGCCCAAUCUCUAGGAAGUUACCAUGGCCCACGGUAGAGUCUCUCUGCAUAUCUAGAAUGGAAUGAAAAGGUAGGAUGAGGAUGUUGGGGGAUCCGAUCUGAGGUCAUGCAAUAUUUUGGAGUUCGCUUAAUGGGCCUCCUUGCAGCAAAAGGAUGGUAGGCUAUGGUCUGGCCGGCGUGGACACCCUCUGUGGGCUCCUAUACCAGUACCAAAACAUGUUCGCUUCUGCAAAAUAAACAGCCACUCGAAGCAUGCAGAGGAGUAAGUUACCCAAGAUAAUUAAAUACAGUAUGAACCAAAAAGAGUAUGCAGGAGACCGGGAGAGACUGCAGACUUACUUGGCCUGGUCUUUAUGUAUCCCCAAUGCUCGUUUCCAUUGGGGGUUCCCAUUGAUAUUGCUGCGGUACCGGUGGAGAACAUAAGAAUGGCUGUGAUGUCGAAGGAGCAGAUGCAGAUGGGAAGUUUACCACAACGCGCCAAACAUUUGCAGAUCUUUUAGAUUUGAUCCACUCCCAGAGUGAUAGUGUAUGAGUAUAGACAACUUCUUGCUUGACACUGGCAUGAACCCAGUGUUGACAAUCGGCAACUUUUACGCAUACUCAACAUCACCAAGAAGAAACCAGGAGCCUGGACUGGCUCUUAAUCAUAAGGUCAAGAUGGUCCCCAAGGGUCUCGUGGUAAUGUCUCGGUAUAUGUAUCUCGAUAUAUUUCUUUGCUAUCUAACUAAUCCUUCCGGAGGUGCUCCAAUUGAAAUUAAACUGCAGUUGGCAAGAGGCGUCCAUUGAAGUAUACAAUAAUGGGCUGGUUAACGACCUUAUGAAGCCAGCAAUCGACGAGGCAAGCCCACAAAUGGAUCUACCCAUGGGAUGAAUGUCCAAUUUAUUGUUGAAUGUGAUGAAGGAUAGUAGUGUUUGUCUGUUUGAUACAUCCAAAUAUGAUGUAGGUUGAUGAGCUGCUCUCGCGCGGUGUGAACGUGACAGUGUGUACCAAGGCCAGCUGGAUGUGAUAUGCUCGACAUUUGGUGCAGAAGCAUGG